UAUGUGUGAGACAAUCACUGGCUCCCCCCUGAUUUAGAGAAGUGGUUACUUAUAACAAGGUCCAGUUCCUUGGAUCACUGUUAGGAGAAACUUCUGAACUCAUGGUUAAAUGCAAGAUGCCAGAUGAGAUCUUUCUGGCUCUUAACAGACAGGAUUGGGCAACUCACCAACAGUGAGGUAAAUCAAGCAAUAACUCUCUAUCAGGAAGGUUGUGAGGAGAAAAGUUCAUUAAUGUGUGCAAGGUGUAUCCUCAGAUGCUGUCUUAUUGCUGUGUCUUCCCCAGCCUGCUGGCAGAAGAGGCAGGGAAAAAGGGACUGCUAGCAAUAAGCCUGCAAGAAGAGUGUUGAAUGAGGACACAGACCUAAAGUGUCAGCUCCUGGACAGGCAGCACGUGUCAAUGGAAAAUUAAAAGAUAAUGAAGUCUAAGUACCCAGUUAUCUGUCUGUAUGGCCACAGUGCAUGGGACAUGCACCAGGAUUCCACUAGAUGUUAUUUUGUAAUAAAAACUUAGAAUAAAAAACAGUAAC